rnacentral:rRNA from 1 species
UACGUAGGUGGCAAGCGUUGUCCGGAUUUACUGGGCGUAAAGAGCGCGCAGGCGGUCGGAUACGUCGCAUGUGAAAGCCCCCGGCUCAACUGGGGAGGGUCAUUCGAUACUGUUCGACUCGAAGGCAGGAGAGGGAAGUGGAAUUCCCGGUGUAGUGGUGAAAUGCGUAGAUAUCGGGAGGAACACCAGUGGCGAAGGCGACUUCCUGGCCUGUUCUUGACGCUGAGGCGCGAAAGCUAGGGGAGCAAACGGG